rnacentral:sRNA from 1 species
CACAGUGGUUUGGUCGACUAAAAUCGCCACGUCCUGUGGCGACGUCGGCACUAGCACGUCCUGUGCG